GAUUUGAAGUGAUACAUCUACAUCACUUCAUACACCACUCAUUUUCAGUUUUUUUCAAAUUUUACAUUUUACAUUUGUGUUGGUGUAUGAAGUGAUGUAGAUGUAUCACUUCAAAUC
rnacentral:miRNA from 1 species